rnacentral:rRNA from 1 species
UGGUACCGUCAAGUGACUUAGAAAAGCCUUUUUUCGUCCCAGAUAAAAGAAGUUUACAAUCCAGAGGACCUUAAUCCUUCACGCGGCAUGGCUGGUUCAGACUUGCGUCCAUUGACCAAUAUUCCUUACUGCUGCCUCCC